rnacentral:rRNA from 1 species
CCUACGGGAGGCAGCAGUGAGGAAUAUUGGUCAAUGGACGAGAGUCUGAACCAACCAAGUAGCGUGAAGGAUGACUGCCCUAUGGGUUGUAAACUUCUUUUAUAAAGGAAUAAAACGAGGCACGUGUGCCUUUUUGCAUGUACUUUAUGAAUAAGGAUCGGCUAACUCCGUGCCAGCAGCCGCGGUAAUACGGAGGAUCCGAGCGUUAUCCGGAUUUAUUGGGUUUAAAGGGAGCGUAGAUGGGUUGUUAAGUCAGUUGUGAAAGUUUGCGGCUCAACCGUAAAAUUGCAAUUGAUACUGGCAGUCGUGAGUACAGUUGAGGUAGGCGGAAUUCGUGGUGUAGCGGUGAAAUGCUUAGAUAUCACGAAGAACCCCGAUUGCGAAGGCAGCUUACUAAACUGUGACUGACAUUGAUGCUCGAAAGUGUGGGUAUCAAACAGGAUUAGAUACCCGGGUAGUC